CUAAAAAGAACCUACUGAAAAAGAAAUUUGAACCUGGGGAUGUUGCCUAUGAGGAUGAAAGUUCACCAGCCACAGUUCUAGACAUUAAAGAGAACAAAGAAACUCUCAGGAGGAGGAUAUUCAGAAGAGGGGAAUUUACAGACGUAGUACAGAAGAAGUUUCCAAACGUACCAAUAAAAUUUAUCAGGGCAGCAGUAAGGGAAAAAGUAAAUGAUGAGCACAAGUUACAAGGAAGGAAAAUGGAGUAAACGCAGCCUGUUCAUUGGAUUCUGGUCUACUUUUUAUUUUUUUAACAGUUUUAAUAAAUAAUUUGUGAAAAUA